rnacentral:rRNA from 1 species
GCUCUGCAUGGAUCAUUGGCGAACGGGUGAGUAACACGUGAGCAAUCUGCCCUUGACUCUGGGAUAAGCGCUGGAAACGGCGUCUAAUACCGGAUACGAGCUGCGAAGGCAUCUUCAGCAGCUGGAAAGAACUUCGGUCAAGGAUGAGCUCGCGGCCUAUCAGCUUGUUGGUGAGGUAACGGCUCACCAAGGCGUCGACGGGUAGCCGGCCUGAGAGGGUGACCGGCCACACUGGGACUGAGACACGGCCCAGACUCCUACGGGAGGCAGCAGUGGGGAAUAUUGCACAAUGGGCGCAAGCCUGAUGCAGCAACGCCGCGUGAGGGACGACGGCCUUCGGGUUGUAAACCUCUUUUAGCAGGGAAGAAGCGAAAGUGACGGUACCUGCAGAAAAAGCACCGGCUAACUACGUGCCAGCAGCCGCGGUAAUACGUAGGGUGCAAGCGUUAUCCGGAAUUAUUGGGCGUAAAGAGCUCGUAGGCGGUUUGUCGCGUCUGCUGUGAAAACUGGAGGCUCAACCUCCAGCCUGCAGUGGGUACGGGCAGACUAGAGUGCGGUAGGGGAGAUUGGAAUUCCUGGUGUAGCGGUGGAAUGCGCAGAUAUCAGGAGGAACACCGAUGGCGAAGGCAGAUCUCUGGGCCGUAACUGACGCUGAGGAGCGAAAGGGUGGGGAGCAAACAGGCUUAGAUACCCUGGUAGUCCACCCCGUAAACGUUGGGAACUAGUUGUGGGGUCCAUUCCACGGGAUUCCGUGACGCAGCU